rnacentral:lncRNA from 1 species
AUCUGAUCUAACAGACACAUUCUGGCAAUACCACACCCCCUGCUCCUCAACACCCACCAGCAGGAUGCACAUCUCUUCCAGAGCUGCGGAGCAGCUGGAAAUGGAAGGAAUGAUAACCUCCAGGACAAUCCUGAGUCAUAAAAUAUUGAUAAUAAUUGACUCAAAGAAAGAAAGAAGAGUUUUCUAGGAAAGCUACGAGACAACUGAGGAAACAUGUCUAGGAGAGUGAAACCUCAGUCAUGGCAAAGCACUUCUGGAAUCCAAAUGAAGAUGGAGAUGUCAUGGAAACUUGGAUCUGGAUGAUCCAACAUUCCUCCAGCUUUGCAGUGGAAGGCCAUGGAGAUACUGCAUGACAGAGAAGGAGGUGCACCCAUGUUCCCCCUCACAAGGACAUGAGGGAAUUGGGACCAACUGCUGCUGCCACCACUGCCACCUGCUGAGAUCUCCAGCUCAAAGUGACCUGGACCUACUCCAUCUUCUGGGGCAGAGAGCUCUUGCAUGUCUGAAUCCUCCUGGACAGCUGGUUGGUUUAACUCCUUCCACUGCCUUCACCUCCCGCAGUAAGGCAGCACCGGGAGCAGCAGAACGAACCCCAGCAGGGCUGGAAAACAGAAAAGGGUUUGAGUUAUG